rnacentral:lncRNA from 1 species
AAUUAUCCCAGAAAAUUGUUUAUAUUAAAAACAGGCUGAGAGUUGUUUGAACUGUGAACCUCCCCCUCCCCCCCCUCCCCCAAUUAGAGGAUAAACAUUCUUCUUGUUAAGAUUUCUUUGGAAAACCCCUG